rnacentral:rRNA from 1 species
ACGGGGGGGGCAAGCGUUAUUCGGAAUUACUGGGUGUAAAGGGCGCGUAGACGGCCGAAUUGGUCAGGUGUGAAAUCCCUAGGCUUACCUUAGGAACUGCGUUUGAUACUAUUUGGCUUGAGUAUAGGAGAGGUGGGUGGAAUUCCAGGUGUAGCGGUGAAAUGCGUAGAUAUCGGGAGGAACACCGGUGGCGAAGGCGGCUCACUGGAAUGUAACUGACGCUGAGGCGCGAAAGCGUGGGGAGCGAACAG